AAGUCGAGCGGAUGACGGGGAGCUUGCUCCUUGAUUCAGCGGCGGACGGGUGAGUAAUGCCUAGGAAUCUGCCUGGUAGUGGGGGACAACGUUUCGAAAGGAACGCUAAUACCGCAUACGUCCUACGGGAGAAAGCAGGGGACCUUCGGGCCUUGCGCUAUCAGAUGAGCCUAGGUCGGAUUAGCUAGUUGGUGGGGUAAUGGCUCACCAAGGCGACGAUCCGUAACUGGUCUGAGAGGAUGAUCAGUCACACUGGAACUGAGACACGGUCCAGACUCCUACGGGAGGCAGCAGUGGGGAAUAUUGGACAAUGGGCGAAAGCCUGAUCCAGCCAUGCCGCGUGUGUGAAGAAGGUCUUCGGAUUGUAAAGCACUUUAAGUUGGGAGGAAGGGCAGUAAGUUAAUACCUUGCUGUUUUGACGUUACCGACAGAAUAAGCACCGGCUAACUCUGUGCCAGCAGCCGCGGUAAUACAGAGGGUGCAAGCGUUAAUCGGAAUUACUGGGCGUAAAGCGCGCGUACGUGGUUUGUUAAGUUGGAUGUGAAAGCCCCGGGCUCAACCUGGGAACUGCAUCCCAAACUGGGAAGCUACAGUACGGUAUAGGGUGGUGGAGUUUCCUGUGUAGCGGUGAAAUGCGUAGAUAUAGGAAGGAACACCAGUGGCGAAGGCGACCACCUGGACUGAUACUGACACUGAGGUGCGAAAGCGUGUGGAGCAUACACGAUUAUAUACCCUGGU
rnacentral:rRNA from 1 species